rnacentral:rRNA from 1 species
ACCUGACUGCUAUCGGAUUGAUACUAAGCCAUGCGAGUCAUUGUAGCAAUACAAGGCAUACGGCUCAGUAACGCGUAGUCAACCUAACCUAUGGACGGGAAUAACCUCGGGAAACUGAGAAUAAUGCCCGAUAGAACACUAUACCUGGAAUGGUUUGUGUUCCAAAUGAUUUAUCGCCGUAGGAUGGGACUGCGGCCUAUCAGUUUGUUGGUGAGGUAAUGGCCCACCAAGACUAUUACAGGUACGGGCUCUGAGAGGAGUAGCCCGGAGAUGGGUACUGAGACACGGACCCAGGCCCUAUGGGGCGCAGCAGGCGAGAAAACUUUGCAAUGUGCGAAAGCACGACAAGGUUAAUCCGAGUGAUUUGUGCUAAACGAAUCUUUUGUUAGUCCUAGAACCACUAACGAAUAAGGGGUGGGCAAGUUCUGGUGUCAGCCGCCGCGGUAAAACCAGCACCUCAAGUGGUCAGGAUGAUUAUUGGGCCUAAAGCAUCCGUAGCCGGCUCUGUAAGUUUUCGGUUAAAUCUGUACGCUUAACGUACAGGCUGCCGGGAAUACUGCAGAGCUAGGGAGUGGGAGAGGUAGACGGUACUCGGUAGGAAGGGGUAAAAUCCUUUGAUCUAUUGAUGACCACCUGUGGCGAAGGCGGUCUACCAGAACACGUCCGACGGUGAGGGAUGAAAGCUGGGGGAGCAAACCGGAUUAGAUACCCGGGUAGUCCCAGCUGUAAACUAUGCAAACUCAGUGAUGCAUUGACUUGUGGUCAAUGCAGUGCUGCAGGGAAGCCGUUAAGUUUGCCGCCUGGGAAGUACGUACGCAAGUAUGAAACUUAAAGGAAUUGGCGGGGGAGCACCACAAGGGGUGAAGCCUGCGGUUC